rnacentral:rRNA from 1 species
AGAGUUUGAUCAUGGCUCAGAAUGAACGCUAGCGGCAGGCUUAACACAUGCAAGUCGAGGGGCAUCAUUGGAGUAGCAAUACUUCAGAUGGCGACCGGCGCACGGGUGCGUAACGCGUAUGCAACCUACCUUUAACAGGGGGAUAACACUGAGAAAUCGGUACUAAUACCCCAUAACAUCGCAGACGGCAUCGUUUGCGGUUGAAAACUCCGG